UAACACUUCAUUGAUUCCCACCUGAAACCGACUACUCGCUUUCGAUCCCCACUAUAGAACCAAAGCAAACCAAAGUUCGUUACCAUCACCAUAGGUAACGCUUCACCAAUCCCCAUAUAAAAUCAGCUACUCACUCCUGAUCCAUACCACCAGACCAGAGCACACCAAAACUGUACCGAAGCCCGUACGCCAUGAUGCAUGACCCUCAACGACAUGCAUUAUCACAAAAAGGUUCACCAAAAGGAUCCUGAUACACAUCUCACCUCUU
rnacentral:lncRNA from 1 species